rnacentral:rRNA from 1 species
GCGCAGCAGGCGAGAAACUUCACACUGUGCGAAAGCACGAUGAGGGAAUCCCAAGUGCUUGCACGUAAGUGUAAGCUGUUUCUCUGUCUAAAACGCAGAGAGAGUAAGGGCUGGGUAAGACGGGUGCCAGCCGCCGCGGUAAUACCUGCAGCUCAAGUGGUGACCGUUAUUAUUGGGCCUAAAACGUCCGUAGCCGGUUUAAUAAAUGCCUGGGUAAACUGUGUAGCUUAACUAUACGAAUUCCGGGUAGACUGUUAAACUUGAGACCGGGAGAAGUUAGAGGUACUCCUGGGGUAGAGGUGAAAUUCUGUAAUCCUAGGGGGACCACCAGUGGCGAAGGCGUCUAACUAGAACGGGUCUGACGGUGAGGGACGAAGCCCUGGGGCGCAAAACGGGAUUAGAUACCCCUGUAGU